GACCAGUUUUUCACUUUCGUUUACCCCCAAAACACAGAAAAAACCGCCAAGAGGCAAAACAACCAUUCUAGGAGAACUGAAAUUGCAGUCCUUCGUUCUGACCUUAUUAAGAAGCCCGUGCUUAUCCUAGAGAUCAUCUGUCGGUCAAUCGGACGGUUGGCAAAAAAAAUUUGUAGCUGCAAGAGAGAAGUUGACCGUGUACAGCAAGAUCGUUUGUCGCCGAUGCCAUCGCCUCCGAUGAAAUCUUGAGCAAAUAUUAUGUAAGCAUGAUAUUUGUUCAUCGCUUGCUACCGUGGUCGACUAAUUUCAGUUUCAAUGAACGCAACCCGACAUUCUUGUAUGACAGAAAAGAAUUUUGGACCUUGUCAUAGCUGUAGAGAGAAGGGGCAAUUCUUUGCGAUUACCCAGAGAAACGAUGCCCCUGGUGUAAAAUUGGAUUUGUGAAGUGCUUUGAGGUUGAGGGGGAGAUGAAGAAAAAGGGAAAAUCGUUCAGUUGCUACAAUGCUAACUGUAAAUACUGGGAAUGGGUUGACGAAGGAGAAUCAAGCUGUAGAUCGAGUAUUAUUGUCGUUAACUCGAAUAAUCAUGAGGCAUUUGAAGAAGUCCAGCAGUUCUCUCGCAUGUUCCAUUCCCUUUGUCAGGUAACUGGAGAACAAAACAUUGAGAUUUCUUUGAAUGUGACAAUAAGAAAUGCCAUUGGAAGUGUGGGAGUGGAUAAGAAGGGGCCGGCAUGAUUACUGGUUAUAUUUCUUGGGAUGCAUCACUACCACCUUUGAUGUGCAAUAUGUGUUGUAUUAUGUGAAGUUGAUGUGUAAUAUGUGUUGUGUUAUGUGAAGAAAUCAUUGUAAUGUAGUCACUUUUGAUGUUUCAGUCGCUAUGUGAACGAUGUUAGUGUUAAUAUUAGUGGACUGCAGUUUGUGUUCUU